CAUUGACAUAAACAAUCGAGGCGUCUAAGGAUGUUUUGUUACCUCAGGCAAAUAGGCAGUUGAUUUUUUUUUAUUUGAUUGUUGAAGCUGCUUUUUAGUCAUAGCGUCAAGGUUUUUGUACUUGAUUAACCUCUGACAGCCGACAGCCUAUUGGUAUCGAUGUGUUUCCUGGCCGUUGACGUUCGAAUACUGCGGCGGUAAAACCAGGGGUGGCACACUCUCAAGUUCAACUAAUGGCCACAGAGGGCGAAAAAAUCGACCGCGCGGCGCUGCUAAAGAAACAGGCAUAGUACACCAAUUAAAAAGGUUCCCCGUUGAGCGCAUUAUCUCCGGCUAGAGGCGCCGUAGUAAGCGCAAUUUUAACCUUCAAACUUUCUUCAACAGUAAACGAAGCGUUUUUAUCGCAUGAUAAAGACUACAAAAGUAUAAUUCCUAAUUUUACAUUGUACUUUUCAUUACCAACUUUGUUGUUUUUUGUCAUUUUAAACGCAAAAUAGCGUUCAGCAUCAUCGACCUCCCACGUGACCUCUGGCCUGGAUUUAAAAUUUUUACCGGUAUGUUCGCGUGCACGGCAGGUACGGAUUCCUUGGUUCGUACAUUGGUUGGUUAAUUUGUGCUAACACCAGUUUAUUGCGCUUCGAUAUCUCGCGUUAUUUAACUUGGGGUGUAAGCCUGAAAGCUAGGUUUCAGUCGUGAGCCAUGUGGAACACGUCUGCAUCGAAAUGGGAGCCGGGUCCUGCUGCGACUGGGGACAGCAAUACCGACAUGCAGUAAUGAGGAUGGCACCAGUAUAAAGCAACACACUCCAUGCACUAAACAGAAGCUGCUGCCUGCUACAACAAGGUCAUUGUGUGGACUUUGGCUGCUACUACAAGAGUCUGUGCCAAGUACAUCUUGGUCAUCACGGGAGCCCCCAUCUACACAAACAAGAAGGGGCCGGAGCUGAAUUCACAAGACCACGAACAAAGAAGCCAUUCCAGAAUUAUUUGGAUGAGAUAUCAAGUCUACGGACGACUGUUUCAAGAGUGAAAAGAGCCUACGCCAUCAUUCCACCAGCACGGAUAUUGGCCGAGUCAUCCAGGUACCUCAACAACAAAAAUUAUUUGUCUUCAGAUGUACCUGCAACCUCUGAACAAGCACAGACGACGGUGGCUAAGAGUGUUCUGUCAGCUUGCCCUUCCUUAGGGAGCUCCCUGGCCUUGCCAAUUCUUGCCAAGUAUAAUUUUGUUUCAAUGAAUGCACGCUUCUUCAUUCCACACUUUUGUUAGAGAUCAUUCCUAUUCCUCAUACAAACAUUAAAGGUCAACCGAUUCUUUGCUCAUACUUAAUGCCCGUCACUGUCUAGUAGCAUAACAUAUGUGUAGCAGUUCUUUCUAGUGUAUGUUGCCAUGUGCAAUUCCUCUCCUGAAAUAGCUGAUGCGACAUUGGCGUGUGUCUUGCAUUAACCUUUACACUGUGUGCUAUGUAGCAUUUAACUUUUGUUAAUGUUUUUGGCUUUCAAUGCUUGCAAGGUAGAGUGGCUUCUUUCUUGAAUGCAAGCUUUCUCAUUCCCAUAUUGAAUUCCUAGUCUCAUUCAGGAUUGCUAUUCUUGCUCGACAGCCUGUGUUUUUGUGCAAGCUACAUUGAAGAGAUUGAUUGCAGAAUAUGGUUUCGGCGCUGUGCGACUUGGUACUUGUCACCGUGUUACGUUUCUCAUGUGUGGGAGCCUGGUCAGUUGCACUGGGAAACAGUCUCUCGAGGCAAGCACCUGCUCCUACAGUCUGCACAGUGACAUAGACUGCGAAUUUACACGCACCGUGGUUGGUGCUCCCCGUUCCGUCCUUUCCUGCUGCUGCCGUGUGCAAAUUUUGCUUGUGGCCUUCCUCAGCCAUGAUUUGGCGUCAACGGAGACUCUCAUACAUAAUUACAUGGUUCUAAGUGUAUGAAGUUGAUAUCCACAUUUGUGGAAAGGCCUGCAAAAUAGUUAUGUUCACAAAACCGACCAUGUCCAUAUAUGGAGAAUGUGGCGGACCAAGUGUGAGUUACACAUUAGUGGCAUGCAAUAGAACAAAAAGAAACAUGCAGGUUGGAAAGGCGGUAACGCUAAUAUGCCGGGCACUCCAUGUCGCUGUUGGCUGUAGCAGCAGAUGCUUUCGUCACCCGAUUGUUUCGCAAUGCAAGUUGCUCAUAUUCAACGCCGACUGUCGAUACUAACACGUGGGACACACUGUCCAAUCUGCUUGUGCUGCUGGUUGUUGCUUGUUACCAGACUGCAGUGUGCGACGAAGGCAAGCGCUAUGCCUACAGUCGGACGGUUGAAUGUGCCGCAAGCAGCCCAUGUGCGUGUAUGCUCACUGUUGUCAUGUAGAUCGCAGCCAAUGCAUAGUGCCAAUGUAUAGAUUGAGCGUUAUGUUAGAGUAUGCUGAAGUGAUUUGAUUACAUAAUCUUGUUUCAAUGUUGUCCCACUUGGUCAUGGUUGCCAUGUUACAUUUCUGGGAUGUGGCAGCCUGUUUAGUUGUAUUGGCCAACAGCCUCUCGAGGUAAGCACCUGCUCCUGCAGUCCACACAGUGACACGAACUCCUUGUUUACAUGUACUGUGAUUGGUGCUCCCUGUUUGUCCUUUCCUGCUGCAGCCAUAGGUAAAGUGUGCUUGUGGCCUUCUUUGUACAUGAUUUGGCGUGAACAGAGACUAUCAUACAUGAUUACAUGGUUUGAAGUGUAUGAAGUUGAUAUCCACAUGGUGUCAGGAUUGGGGGCUCAAUCCCUUCGUCCGUGGUCCUUUGCCAAGAUUGGAGUACGGCAUGAAUUCGAAGGUAGCUGGCCCAUGCCGUCGUCCAACUUAUUUACGCUGAGAUCGUUGAUGAAGUGAAGAACUGCUUCUCAUCGAGAACGAGGAAAAAGGGUUUAUUUACAGAAACUAAGUCAGUCUAACAUGACUGCUUGAGAAAAAGAGUAACAGUCCAACAUGACUGUAUGAGAGAAGUGACUCAGUCUAACAUGACUGCUCAAGAGAAGUGUGUCCUCAGCAUUCGCACAACCACAGUUUUUAUACACUCGAUCCGCCGGUCCUACGACGCGGCGACUGUUCGUUUACACAUCACCAACUCGCAGCUGCUCUGAAGAUCAGUUUACGUACACAAAGGCAACCGCGCUCUGUUCACAGAGGCAACCGCGCGGGGUGCCGUUCCGGGAAACUAUCGGCGCUGAUCGAGGGUCGCUCGUUGUUCCGUGCUAGGCCGAAGCGUGAGACGCUCAAAAUACGUCGUCCCCACGGCAGCUUGUCCAGCGUUUCAAAUCAGCUCCGCGUUGGGGAACUCCGGAAUCAUUGUUCACGCACCGAACUAGUCCCGUCACAAUGUCGAAGGGGCUGGAGGAAGGCGGCGGAUUCCAACGCAAAGGCCGCUUCUUUGAACGCCUCCCAGCUGCAGCGACGGAGAGGGAGAGGUGCGCGUCUUGCACCCCUUGUCGUAAUCGGGUGGCAAGGUGGCAAUCUUGUUGCGCAACUCGCCAUUCUUGACAAUGGGUGGAAAGGCCUGUAAAAGUGGCUGCGAAUUGGCGAUUCCCACAAAACAGACCACAUCCAUAUUGAGAGCAGGUGGGGCACCAAGUGUGAGCGACACAUUAGUGGCCACUGAAAGAACAAAAAGAAACGUGCAUGUAAGAAAGGAGGUAACACUAGGAUGCCAGGUAGUUCACGUCGCUGUGUUGGCUGUGGCAGUAGGUGCCUGCGUCAGCCGAUUGAUUUGCAGUGCAAGUUACGGUGACUGUCAUUGCAAACAGGUGGGGCACUGUCCAAUCUGCUUGUGCUACUGGUUGUCACUCGUUACUAGACCACCAUGUGCGACGUAGGCAAGCACUGUGCCUGAAGUCGGAUAGCUGAAUGUGCUGUAUGCAACUUGUAGUGCGUGAAUGCCCACUGUUGUCAUGUGGAUCUUAGCCAAUGUACAGUGUAUUGUCUGAACCUUAUGCGGUGAUUGAAUGCAGAGUCUAAUUUGAUAAUGGUCGCCGUGUUAUGUUUCUUCGAUGUGGCGACCUGGUUAGCUGCAUGGGCAACAGUCUCCCGAGGUAACCAUCUGCUCCUGCAGUCCACACAGCGACAAAGACUCCCAAUUUACAUGCACCGUAAUUGGUGCUCUCCCCAUUCGACAUUUCUUGCUGCAGCCGCCGGCCGAUUAUGCUUGUGGGCCUUCAUCGGCCGUGAUGUGGCGUGAGCGGAGACAGCACACGUUAUUACAUGGUCCGAAGUUGAUAGCCACAUGGGUGGAAAGGCCUGCAAAAGUGGCUGCAAAAUGCUGAUGCCCACAUGGAGAAUGUGGGGCACCAACUAUGAGUUGCACAUUAGCGGCCCCCGAAAGAACAAAAAGAAACGUGCAGGUUGGAAAGGCGGGAACGCUAAAAGGCCGUUUAGUCCAUGUCGCUGUGUUGGUUGCGGCAGCAGAUGCCUUGCGUCACCCGAUUGCUUCGCAAUGCAAGUUACGGCGAUUGUCAAUGCAAACAGGUGGUGCACUGCCCAAUUUACUUGCGCUACUGAUUGUCGCUCGUUACCAGAUCGCCAUGUGCGGCGACGAAAGUGAGCAGUUUACGAGCUCGCGUUAAUGGUUUCAGCGCAUCUCGACAUGCAAAUUUUAUUUCUGAUCUUGUAUGAGAAGGUGCACUGGUUUUAUUCUGCCAAUAAAGUCGCACGUCCUGUUCACUCA